UUUUGUUCUGAUUAUUAUUAUUAUUAUUAGGUCUUUCCACCUUUCCGUGGAAAGACAUAUAGGUUUUGUUCUGAUUAUUAGGUCUUUCCACCUUUCCGUGGAAAGACCUAUAGGGUUUGUUCUGAUUAUUAUUAGGUCUUUCCACUUUUCCGUGGAAAGACCUAUUGUAUUUGUUCUGAUUAUUAUUAUUAGGUCUUUCCACCUUUCCGUGGAAAGACCUAUAGGGUUUGUUCUGAUUAUUAUUAUUUUUUUUUUUCUUCCGCCUAAUUUUUUUCUUGCGUAGUAUUGAUGUUUCAAAAGAUGUCGCUUAGAUAUUUGGAAUAUGAUAUCGUAUAGUUUAUACGCUUUAAAAAUUUACAACCGCGUAACAAAAUACUUUACGUUGUAAGAGUUAUCUCCCCAAACACUGUUUUUCUUGUGGCCACUACUCCUUCGCAACCGUUAAAGAUUACGACAAAUUUAUUUUACCAAAUUGCUCGUUACAUCUUCAGGAUUAGGAUAUUCAUUUGGACCGAAGCUUUAUGGAGACUCCAAAUGAGAGUUAUUCCCCCUUUUCCAUUUAAUUAAGUGAUAUGCAUUUCUAAAUGGCAAACCAUAAGUGAUAGAGACAUAGGGUCUUUAGAUUUGAAGUCCUUGGUCCAAAAAAAUAAAAAAUAGGUCAAGGUCAAAGGUCAAGGUCAUAUUCUAAAUUUUGAUUUUGGCUUAUUUUCACUUAUUUCAAAUACCGUAUGACAUUUCGACAAAUAUUUUUUCAUAAAUUGUUAGUUGCGACAUGUCCAUUACUUGUAUAUUUUGGUUAAAGGGUGCGCAGCCCAUAAAUUGGAGUUUUUGUCCAUCUUACAUUUAGAAUUACGUGUAAAGUGAUAUUACUCAUUAACCAAACAUAUUAAAGACCUAGGGUCUU
rnacentral:lncRNA from 1 species